UAUAAUGAUGAGCUCUAAUAACACCAUUAAUGCUAGAUAGUAUCUGAAAGUUCAACUUACUGAUUUCAGUGUUUUUUACAAUAAAAUAAUCUCUGAUA
rnacentral:snoRNA from 1 species